ensembl:lncRNA DNAJC27-AS1 DNAJC27 antisense RNA 1
CGCGAACCCCAAAUUCUCACACGCACCCCAUAACGUUCCGCCGGCUCCCAGGCCCGGCUGGGGGAACUAAACUUUCAUCCUCCAUCUCCCGGUCCCGGACGGCCCCCUAGAACGCGGGCAAGGUAUCUAGGCCGACGGCCCCUCAUGGGGACCCAGGCCUUCUUACUCUUUUGGGGGUACAUUCAAGGCUUAGAGGCCACCCCAGACACCAUCUCCGGAAGAGUGACGUCGGAGGACGAGGGGGCAACGGAAAGGUCAAAAAGAUCUCUGAUGGAUUUGUUGACUCCUCUGUGGGAGAAAGGCUUGGUCUACUGCAGGUGUUAACGCUAAGCCAGGCUGGAGCUGUGGACGUCAGUUUCCUCAGCUCCCCGCUGUUCGCUUCGAACGUGACCUCGACGUCUGCUCUCCCCUUCCCUUUAGCUGACAAUGUGACAGUGCUUGAAUAAAAGUCAGUCUGACA